UAAACUUAGCAUGGAUAGAGUCUAGAAAUAUAUGACACUUGACUAACCGGAGAUAGUGUGAUAGCUUUUGAUUAUCUUUGAAAUGUUCUUAUAUAGGUAAAAGAUGUUGUCGGGAUCUAAUCAAGUAGGUUCUAAUGAGGUAGAAAGUUCUAUUCCACCUACUAACGAGGAAAUUACGCGGAAUGAACCUGGACCGUAAGAAUCUAGAGAAGGAGCACCUAAUUUAUUUCUUCGUAUGAUGCAUGACAUGUACGAUACGCAUUUAAUGGUAAACUCCACAGUUCCACAACCUGAAUCUGCUUACCAUCAAGGUUCAAGUAAGCAAUCUGCUCAUAGAGUGACCAUGUAUAAACUUAGAAAGUGUGAACCUUGGAGUGUGCAUUUUUUCUAACUUUUUCCUCAAGGUUUCAUAAGUUCUCGAUCUAGUUUGGGAUCAUUUUAACAAUUUUUUAAGGCCUUGUAGGCUCGAUUAAGGGAUAAUACGCAUGUGUUUCAAUGAAUUAUGCUAUGAUUUAUCUCAUGUUUGGAAAUUAAUUUUUUAUCUUAUGAUUUUACGGUAAUGCUUGUAACCCUAUUUGAGUGACGAAUACGGUUAGGGGUGUUACAUUUAGUGGUAUCAGAGCAACAAUUUAGUCGAUUCUCAGACUAAACUUAGCAUGUAUAGAGUCUAGAAAUAUACGACACUUGACUAACCGGAGUAGUGUGAUAGCUUUUGAUUAUCUUUGAAAUGCUCUUAUAUAGGUAAAAGAUGUUGUCGAGAUCUAAUCAAGUAGGUUCUAAUGAGGUAGAGAGUUUUAUUCCACCUACUAACGAGGAAAGUACGCGGAAUGAACCUGGACCGUAAGAAUCUAGAGAAGUAGUACCUAAUUUAUUUCUUCGUAUGAUGCAUGACAUGUACGAUGCGAAUUUAAUGGUAAACUCCAUAGUUCCACAACCUCAAUCUCCUCACCAUCAAAGUUCAAGUAAGCAAUGUGCUCAUAGAGUGACCAUGUAUAAAGUUAGAAAGUGUGACCCUUGUAGUGUGCAUUUUUUCUAACUUUUUCCUCAAGGAUUCAUAUGUUCUCGAUUUAGACUGGGGUCAUUUUUAAAAUUUUUUAAGGCCUUGGGGGCUCGAUUAAGGGAAAAUAUGCAUGUGUUUUAAUGAAUUAUGCUAUGAUUUAUCUAAUGUUUGGAAAUGAAUUUUUUCUGUUACGAUUUUACGGUAAUGCUCUAUAACCCUGUUUGAGUGACGAAUACGGUUAGGGGUGUUAUGUUUAGUGGUAUCUCAGCAACAAUUUAGUCGAUUCUCAGACUAAACUUAGCAUGGAUAGAGUCUAGAAAUAUAUAACACUUGGACUAACCAGAGAUAGUGUGAUAGCUUUUGAUUAUCUUUGAAAUGUUCUUAUAUAGGUAAAAGAUGUUGUCGGGAUCUAAUCAAGUGGGUUCUAAUGUGGUAGAGAGUUUUAUUCCACCUACUUACGAGGAAAGUAUGCGGAAUGAACCUGGACCGAAAGGAUCUAGAGAAGUAGCACCUAAUUUAUUUCUUCGUAUGAUGCAUGACAUGUACGAUGCGAAUUUAAUGGUAAACUCCACAGUUCCACAACCUCAAUCUCCUCACCAUCAAGGGUCAAGUAAGCAAUGUGCUCAUAGAGUGACCAUGUAUAAAGUUAGAAAGUGUGACCCUUGUAGUGUGCAUUUUUUCUAACUUUUUCCUCAAGGUUUCAUAUGUUCUCGAUUUAGUCCGGGGUCAUUUUUAAAAUUUUUUAAGGCCUUGAGGGCUCGAUUAAGGGAUAAUAUGCAUGUGUUUCAAUGAAUUAUGCUAUGAUUUAUCUAAUGUUUGAAAAUGAAUUUUUUAUAUUAUGAUUUUACGGUAAUGCUCUGUAACCCUAUUUGAGUGACGAAUACAGUUAGGGGUGUUACGUUUAGUGCUAUUAGAGAAAAAAUUUAGUCGAUUCUCAGACUAAACUUAGCAUGGAUAGAGUCCAGAAAUAUAUGACACUUGACUAACCGGAGAUAGUGUGAUAGCUUUGGAUUAUCUUUGAAAUGUUCUUAUAUAGGUAAAAGAUGUCGGGAUCUAAUCAAGUAGGUUCUAAUGAGGUAGAAAGUUCUAUUCCACCUACUAACGAGGAAAGUACGCGGAAUGAACCUGGACCGUAAGAAUCUAGAGAAGGAGCUCCUAAUUUAUUUCUUCGUAUGAUGCAUGACAUGUACGAUGCGCAUUUAAUGGUAAACUCCACAGUUCCACAACCUGAAUCUGCUUACCAUUAAGGUUCAAGUAAGCAAUCUGCUCAUAGAGUGACCAUGUAUAAACUUAGAAAGUGUGAACCUUGUAGUGUGCAUUUUUUCUAAAUUUUUCCUCAAGGUUUCAUACGUUCUCGAUCUAGUUUGGGAUCAUUUUUACAAUUUUUUAAGGCCUUGAGGGCUCGAUUAAGGGAUAAUAUGCAUGUGUUUCAGUGAAUUAUUCUAUGAUUUAUCUCAUGUUUGGAAAUGAAUUUUUUAUGUUAUGAUUUUACGGUAAUGCUUGUAACCCUAUUUGAGUGACGAAUACGGUUAGGGGUGUUACAUUUAGUGGUAUCAGAGCAACAAUUUAGUCGAUUCUCAGACUAAACUUAGCAUGGAUAGAGUCUAGAAAUAUACGACACUUGACUAACCGGAGAUAGUGUGAUAGCUUUUGAUUAUCUUUGAAAUGCUCUUAUAUAAGUAAAAGAUGUUGUCGGGAUCUAAUCAAGUAGGUUCUAAUGAGGUAGAGAGUUUUAUUCCACCUACUAACGAGGAAAGUACGCGGAAUGAACCUGGACCGUAAGAAUCUAGAGAAGUAGCACCUAAUUUAUAUCUUCGUGUGAUGCAUGACAUGUACGAUGCGAAUUUAAUGGUAAACUCCAUAGUUCCACAACCUCAAUCUCCUCACCAUCAAGGUUCAAGUAAGCAAUGUGCUCAUAGAGUGACCAUGUAUAAAGUUAGAAAGUGUGACCCUUGUAGUUUGCAUUUUUUGUAACUUUUUCCUCAAGGUUUCAUAUGUUCUCGAUUUAGUCUGGGUCAUUUUUAAAAUUUUUUAAGGCCUUGAGGGCUCGAUUAAGGGAUAAUAUGCAUGUGUUUUAAUGAAUUAUGCUAUGAUUUAUCUAAUGUUUGGAAAUGAAUUUUUUAUGUUACGAUUUUACGGUAAUACUCUGUAACCCUGUUUGAGUGACGAAUACGGUUAGGGGUGUUAUGUUUAGUGGUAUCUGAGCAACAAUUUAGUCGAUUCUCAGACUAAACUUAGCAUGGAUAGAGUCUAGAAAUAUAUGACACUUUACUAACCAGAUAUAGUGUGAUAGCUUUUGAUUAUCUUUGAAAUGAUCUUUUAUAGGUAAAAGAUGUUGUCAGGAUCUAAUCAAGUGGGUUCUAAUGAGGUAGAGAGUUUUAUUCCACCUACUAACGAGGAAAGUACGCGGAAUGAACCUGGACCGAAAGAAUCUAGAGAAGUAGCACCUAAUUUAUUUCUUCGUAUGACGCAUGACAUGUACGAUGCGAAUUUAAUGGUAAACUCCACAGUUCCCCAACCUCAAUCUCCUCACCAUCAAGGGUCAAGUAAGCAAUGUGCUCAUAGAGUGACCAUGUAUAAAGUUAGAAAGUGUGACCCUUGUAGUGUGCAUUUUUUCUAACUUUUUCCUCAAGGUUUCAUAUGUUCUCGAUUUAGUCUGGGGUCAUUUUUAAAAUUUUUUAAGGCCUUGAGGGCUCGAUUAAGGGAUAAUAUGCAUGUGUUUCAAUGAAUUAUGCUAUGAUUUAUCUAAUGUUUGAAACUGAAUUUUUUAUAUUACGAUUUUACGGUAAUGCUCUGUAACCCUAUUUGAGUGACGAAUACAGUUAGGGGUGUUACGUUUAGUGCUAUUAGAGCAAAAAUUUAGUCGAUUCUCAGACUAAACUUAGCAUGGAUAGAGUCCAGAAAUAUAUGACACUUGACUAACCGGAGAUAGUGUGAUAGCUUUGGAUUAUCUUUGAAAUGUUCUUAUAUAGGUAAAAGAUGUUGUCGGGAUCUAAUCAAGUAGGUUCUAAUGAGGUAGAAAGUUCUAUUCCACCUACUAACGAGGAAAGUACGCGGAAUGAACCUGGACCGUAAGAAUCUAGAGAAUGAGCACCUAAUUUAUUUCUUCGUAUGAUGCAUGACAUGUACGAUGCGCAUUUAAUGGUAAACUCCACAGUUCCACAACCUGAAUCUGCUUACCAUUAAGGUUCAAGUAAGCAAUCUGCUCAUAGAGUGACCAUGUAUAAACUUAGAAAGUGUG
rnacentral:lncRNA from 1 species